rnacentral:rRNA from 1 species
UACGUAGGGUGCAAGCGUUAAUCGGAAUUACUGGGCGUAAAGCGUGCGCAGGCGGUUAUGCAAGACAGAUGUGAAAUCCCCGGGCUCAACCUGGGAACUGCAUUUGUGACUGCAUGGCUGGAGUGCGGCAGAGGGGGAUGGAAUUCCGCGUGUAGCAGUGAAAUGCGUAGAUAUGCGGAGGAACACCGAUGGCGAAGGCAAUCCCCUGGGCCCGCACCUGACGCUCAUGCACGAAAGCGUGGGGAGCAAACAGGAAUUGAGAUACCCCGGGUAGUCCAA